AUUGAACGCUGGCGGCAGGCCUAACACAUGCAAGUCGAACGGUAACAGGAAACAGCUUGCUGUUUCGCUGACGAGUGGCGGACGGGUGAGUAAUGUCUGGGAAACUGCCUGAUGGAGGGGGAUAACUACUGGAAACGGUAGCUAAUACCGCAUAACGUCGCAAGACCAAAGAGGGGGACCUUCGGGCCUCUUGCCAUCGGAUGUGCCCAGAUGGGAUUAGCUAGUAGGUGGGGUAACGGCCCACCUAGGCGACGAUCCCUAGCUGGUCUGGGAGGAUGACCAGCCACACUGGAACUGAGACACGGUCCAGACUCCUACGGGAGGCAGCAGUGGGGAAUAUUGCACAAUGGGCGCAAGCCUGAUGCAGCCAUGUCGCGUGUAUGAAGAAGGCCUUCGGGUUGUAAAGUACUUUCAGCGGGGAGGAAGGGAGCAAAGUUAAUACCUUUGCUCAUUGACGUUACCCGCAGAAGAAGCACCGGCUAACUCCGUGCCAGCCGCCGCAGUAA
rnacentral:rRNA from 1 species